GGGUCAGUAGGCUGGUCGUGCCACCGGUACGUACUGGUCUCACUGAUUCCUCCUUCCUGAAGAACCGUAAUGCCAUUAAUUUGGUGUUGCGGGGAAACAGGACUGUUACUUUGAAAAAAUUAGAGUGUUUAAAGCAAGCUAAUGCUUGAAUAUGUUAGCAUGGAAUAAUGAAAUAGGACGAUCGAUCCUAUUUUGUUGGUUUCUAGGAUUGACGUA
rnacentral:rRNA from 1 species